CCUACGGGAGGCUGCAGUGGGGGAUAUUGCACAAUGGGGGGAACCCUGAUGCAGCGACGCCGCGUGGGUGAAGAAGCGCCUCGGCGCGUAAAGCCCUGUCAGCAGGGAAGAAAAUGAAGGUACCUGAAGAAGAAGCCCCGGCUAACUACGUGCCAGCAUCCGCCGUAAUACGUAGGGGGCAAGCGUUAUCCUGAUUUACUGGGUGUAAAGGGGGCGCAGACGGCGUUGCAAGCCAGGAGUGAAAGCACGGGGCCCAACCCCGGGACUGUUCUUGGAACUGAGUGGCUGGAGUGCAGGAGGGGCAGGCGGAAUUCCGGGUGUAGCGGUGAAAUGCGUAGAUAUCAGGAGGAACACCGGUGGCGAAGGCGGCCGGCUGGACUGCAACUGACGUUGAGGCCCGAAAGCGUGGGGAGCAAACAGUAUUAGAUACCCGUGUAGUC
rnacentral:rRNA from 1 species